AGGGCACUACCAGGAGUGGAUCCUGCGGCUCAAUUUGACUCAACACGGGAAAGCUCACCUGGUCCGGACACUGGAAGGAUUGACAGAUUAAGAGCUCUUUCUUGAUUCAGUGGGUGGUGGUGCAUGGCCGUUCUUAGUUGGUGGAGCGAUUUGUCUGGUUAAUUCCGAUAACGAACGAGACUCUAGCCUACUAAAUAGGUGUUCCGAUCCCAUCAGUCGGACGCUCUUCUUAGAGGGACAAGCGGCGUUUAGCCGCACGAGACAGAGCAAUAACAGGUCUGUGAUGCCCUUAGAUGUCCGGGGCCGCACGCGCGCUACACUGAAGGAACCAGCGUGUGUCCCUGUCCGGCAGGACUGGGUAAUCCGUUGAACCUCCUUCGUGAUAGGGAUAGGGGCUUGUAAUUGUUCCCCUUGAACGAGGAAUUCCCAGUAAGAGGAAAAAUCAGUUCACGUUGAUUACGUCACUGGCCUUUGAACACACCACCCAUCGCAACAAAAGAUUGGAUGAAUUAGUGAGCU
rnacentral:rRNA from 1 species